rnacentral:lncRNA from 1 species
GGCUUAGCUGCAGAAAGCUCAGACUGAAGGAUGGCAAUGGCUUGUUCUGUGAUCAGUUCUCUUCUGUCUUGGUGGCUCUGUGAAAUGUCUCACCUGUAAGAAAACAACAACAACAACAGAAAACAGAAAAUGAAAACCUUUCCAAACCAACUGAGGAUUAUGCACAUGGUAACUACAAGAGGUUAAAAACAAUCUCAUUCCUCCAGUCCGUUGGCUGAAUUAGCUUAUUUUACUGGGCUCCUUGGCUAUCGUUUCGUGGUUUUUCUGUGCAAAAAUACUCUUAGCAUCUGCAUUUAAAAAUCUACAGCAUCUCCUAUCAGUUACUCUGGAUGUAAUUUUAAUCCACACUGCCU